rnacentral:misc_RNA from 1 species
GAAAUGCGAUAAGUAGUGUGAAUUGCAGAAUUCAGUGAAUCAUCGAAUCUUUGAACGCACAUUGCGCCCCUUGGUAUUCCAUGGGGCAUGCCUGUUCGAGCGUCAUUUGUAUCCUCAAGCUCUGCUUGGUGUUGGGUGUUUGUCCCCGUCUCCGCGCGUGGACUCGCCCCAAAGUGAUUGGCAGCCGGCGUACUGGUCCCGGAGCGCAGCACAUGUCGCGCAAACGAGUGCCUUGGUACGGCGGCGUCCAUAAGCCCCUCUCUCACGCUCUUGACCUCGGAUCAGGUAGGGAUACCCGCUGAACUUAAGC